rnacentral:lncRNA from 1 species
GCUUCCAAUUUCGAGUGGUUCUUCAUAAGUUAUCCCAUCCACUUCCAACACUGUGAUCGAGUUUUUGCGCCUAUUAGAAUUAGCGAUCCUGUGAAAAAACUUAGUACAUUUAUCUCCUUCUUUCAACCAAUUGACCCUAGAUUUCUAACGCCAAGCAAUCUCCUCCAUCUCCACCAACCUCUCCAAUUCUUCCCUUAAU